rnacentral:rRNA from 1 species
GGGGAAUAUUGGACAAUGGGGGGAACCCUGAUCCAGCCAUGCCGCGUGUGUGAAGAAGGCCUUAUGGUUGUAAAGCACUUUAAGCGAGGAGGAGGCUCUUUUGGUUAAUACCCAAGAUGAGUGGACGUUACUCGCAGAAUAAGCACCGGCUAACUCUGUACCAGCAGCCGCGGUAAUACAGAGGGUGCGAGCGUUAAUCGGAUUUACUGGGCGUAAAGCGUGCGUAGGCGGCUUUUUAAGUCGGAUGUGAAAUCCCCGAGCUCAACCGGUAACAUGCAUUUGAAACUGAAAGACUUGAGUAUUGGAGAGGCAAGUGGAAUUCCUAGUGUAGCGGUGAAAUGCGUAGAUAUUAGGAGGAACACCGGUGGCGAAGGCGGCUUGCUGGACAAAUACUGACGCUGAGGUGCGAAAGCGUGGGGAGCAAACA